CGGUGAAAGCGGAGCUUGCUCCGCCGGAUCAGUGGCGAACGGGUGAGUAACACGUGAGCAACCUGCCCCGGACUCUGGGAUAAGCGCUGGAAACGGCGUCUAAUACCGGAUACGAGCUGCGAAGGCAUCUUCAGCAGCUGGAAAGAACUUCGGUCCGGGAUGGGCUCGCGGCCUAUCAGCUAGUUGGUGAGGUAACGGCUCACCAAGGCGUCGACGGGUAGCCGGCCUGAGAGGGUGACCGGCCACACUGGGACUGAGACACGGCCCAGACUCCUACGGGAGGCAGCAGUGGGGAAUAUUGCACAAUGGGCGCAAGCCUGAUGCAGCAACGCCGCGUGAGGGACGACGGCCUUCGGGUUGUAAACCUCUUUUAGCAGGGAAGAAGCCUUCGGGUGACGGUACCUGCAGAAAAAGCGCCGGCUAACUACGUGCCAGCAGCCGCGGUAAUACGUAGGGCGCAAGCGUUAUCCGGAAUUAUUGGGCGUAAAGAGCUCGUAGGCGGUCUGUCGCGUCUGCUGUGAAAACCCGAGGCUCAACCUCGGGCCUGCAGUGGGUACGGGCAGACUAGAGUGCGGUAGGGGAGAUUGGAAUUCCUGGUGUAGCGGUGGAAUGCGCAGAUAUCAGGAGGAACACCGAUGGCGAAGGCAGAUCUCUGGGCCGUAACUGACGCUGAGGAGCGAAAGGGUGGGGAGCAAACAGGCUUAGAUACCCUGGUAGUCCACCCCGUAAACGUUGGGAACUAGUUGUGGGGUCCAUUCCACGGAUUCCGUGACGCAGCUAACGCAUUAAGUUCCCCGCCUGGGGAGUACGGCCGCAAGGCUAAAACUCAAAGGAAUUGACGGGGACCCGCACAAGCGGCGGAGCAUGCGGAUUAAUUCGAUGCAACGCGAAGAACCUUACCAAGGCUUGACAUAUACGAGAACGCUGCAGAAAUGUAGAACUCUUUGGACACUCGUAAACAGGUGGUGCAUGGUUGUCGUCAGCUCGUGUCGUGAGAUGUUGGGUUAAGUCCCGCAACGAGCGCAACCCUCGUUCUAUGUUGCCAGCACGUAAUGGUGGGAACUCAUGGGAUACUGCCGGGGUCAACUCGGAGGAAGGUGGGGAUGACGUCAAAUCAUCAUGCCCCUUAUGUCUUGGGCUUCACGCAUGCUACAAUGGCCGGUACAAAGGGCUGCAAUACCGUAAGGUGGAGCGAAUCCCAAAAAGCCGGUCCCAGUUCGGAUUGAGGUCUGCAACUCGACCUCAUGAAGUCGGAGUCGCUAGUAAUCGCAGAUCAGCAACGCUGCGGUGAAUACGUUCCCGGGUCUUGUACACACCGCCCGUCAAGUCAUGAAAGUCGGUAACACCUGAAGCC
rnacentral:rRNA from 1 species